CUCGUCGAGGACGCCAUUUCGCCCGACUAGCCGUCGUAUCGAAAACUCACUGUUCAGACGCUAUCACGAGUGUGCAAGCUCAAUACAAACUGUAUGCAUUCAGAAUACAUCAGUGUAAGUACAGUCGAUAAAAUGUUGUAGAAAUGAAUGCCAUGGAGCAUCUAUCGAGCAAAUAAAAUACACAUUUUCAAACUGA